rnacentral:rRNA from 1 species
CCUACGGGUGGCUGCAGUGAGGAAUAUUGGUCAAUGGGCUUACGCCUGAACCAGCCAAGUCGCGUGAGGGAAGACUGCCCUAUGGGUUGUAAACCUCAUUUUGUCAGGGAGCAAUUGGCGCUACGUGUAGCGUUAUCGAGAGUACCUUAAGAAAAAGCAUCGGCUAACUCCGUGCCAACAGCCGCGGUAAUACGGAGGGUGCGAGCUUUAUCCGGAUUUAUGGGGUUUAAAGGGUGCGUAGGCGGAAUGCCAAGUCAGUGGUAAAAUCGCGGGGCCCAACCUCGCUCCGCCGUUGAAACUGGCGGUCUUGAGUGGGCGAGAAGUAUGCGGAAUGCGUGGUGUAGCGGUGAAAUGCAUAGAUAUCACGAAGAACUCCGAUUGCGAAGGCAGCAUACCGGCGCCCAACUGACGUUGAAGCACGAAAGCGUGGGUAUCGAACAGGAUUAGAUACCCCAGUAGUC